UCACAAUUGAGUGUCAAGUGCUUGAUGCUGCCAGAUGUGCCUUGCCUAGCCAGGUGGCAACACUUGACAGCACAAUAAAUCCUAAGCGUUUCAACUAAAUGCAUUGCUCAUUUGUUGACAAAAUAUAUUCCACAGAUUAAACACACAGUCUGCGAGUCUGCUAGCCACCCACUCCUUUGCCCCACCGUUGGCACUGGCACACUUCAGGCAAUUGCAAAGUGCAACUGCAACAAUGUUGCACGCAUUGUGAUUUGAGCCAGUGGCAGCUACCAUUACGGGUCUCGAUAUGGGUUGGCUGGCUGGCCGUCUACGCCCUUUGGCGCAUGCGCAAAUUGCCAGUCAUUAUACCCUGUACCCCAAAACCAUGGGGUAACAUCUACCGUUGACAAUGUUUGUCACAGACACAAGAGGCCAACAUUCUUGUGCAUAUAUUUUAUUGAUUAAAUACUCUUAUCACUUAUUAAUGAAUGUGCGCUAGUAGCCCAGAGCUAAAAGAAAAUAAAGAUGAGAGAGUUCUCAGUUGAGAGUGA